rnacentral:misc_RNA from 1 species
AAGACAAAGAUCCAUACACCAUUGAAAGGGAAGGUAUCAAUUCAAUAAAAAGAACUGCAACAAACAUGCAGAAAAAGCACUGGAAUUGAAAUUUAGUGAAAUGGUGUUAGUAAACACUGCAAAGAUGAGAUGGUCAGUAGAGUAAUCAUAUGAAAGAAGUAUUGCAACACACUGAGUCGCCUACAAAACUUGAAAAUAACAUCUCAUGAUUUUCAAAAUGAACCUAUGAACCUAUUUUGAAAACAGAGAAACUUGAUUGAUUUUGUGUAAAAAUGCACACUUGCAACCAAAAACACUACACCCGAUAAACUAACAAAACCUUGCAACCAAGAAAUAAUCACUAUAUCAAAGAAGAGAUGCCAAUGAUAAUGUCACUUCAUUUUACUACAGCAUUUAUGAUUUGCAGCAGUUAUAUUGUAGUUUGCCUCAACAGAAGAAAUUAUCUCACUAUGGAUGAGUACAAGUCUGAUUGUGAAAGAUAGGAUAAAUGUUUUUGAACAAAGUUAUUCUAUGUUUAGAAGUCCACAGUUCCAUGUGAGAUAAACACUUUAAGCAUUAACAUCACUUUGUUUGACAUAAAGCAACUGUAGUGUCAGAUUAGAAUCAUACCACGACAAGUGCGACAAACACCUGAACUAAUACUUUCCAUGCAUGUUAUAGUAAAUCAAAUUUUCAAGUAAAUAAAAAAAUGAUAUUUUUUCAUGAUAAAUAAAUUAUAAUAUAAUUAUGAUCAUAUACAAAAAGCAAUGUUAUAUCCCACCUCUUUCAAUAAAAAUUUC